rnacentral:rRNA from 1 species
CGCGAAUGGCUCAUUACAACAGCCUUAGUUUAUUGGAUCUUAGAGUCCUACUUGGAUAACUGUGGUAAUUCUAGAGCUAAUACACGCAAUUAAUCCUCAACCUUACGGGCGAGGAGCAUUUAUUAGAACAAAACCAAUCGGCUUCGGCCGUAUCUGGUGAAUCUGAAUAACUACGCUGAUCGCAUGGUCUCGUACCGGCGACAUAUCCUUCAAGUGUCUGCCUUAUCAACUGUCGAUGGUAGUUUACACGCCUACCAUGGUUGUAACGGGUAACGGAGAAUAAGGGUUCGACUCCGGAGAGGGAGCCUGAGAAACGGCUACCACAUCCAAGGAAGGCAGCAGGCGCGCAAAUUACCCACUCUCAGAACGAGGAGGUAGUGACGAAAAAUAACGAGACAGUUCUCUAUGAGGUCUGUCAUCGGAAUGGGUACAAUUUAAACCCUUUAACGAGGAUCUAUUGGAGGGCAAGUCUGGUGCCAGCAGCCGCGGUAAUUCCAGCUCCAAUAGCGUAUAUUAAAGUUGUUGCGGUUAAAAAGCUCGUAGUUGGAUCUGCGGUCGUAGACUCUGGUUCCCUCCUAGGGAUACUAGCUGUCUCGACCUACCUUGUUAGAUUUCCCUUGGUGCUCUUUACUGAGUGCCUUGGGUGUCUAGCUCGUUUACUUUGAAAAAAUUAGAGUGCUUAAAGCAGGCAUUUGCCUGAAUAGUGGUGCAUGGAAUAAUGGAAUAGGACCUCGGUUCUAUUUUGUUGGUUUUCGGAGCAUGAGGUAAUGAUUAAGAGGGACAGACGGGGGCAUUCGUAUUGCUACGUUAGAGGUGAAAUUCUUGGAUCGUAGCACGACGAACAACUGCGAAAGCAUUUGCCAAGAAUGUUUUCAUUAAUCAAGAACGAAAGUUAGAGGUUCGAAGGCGAUCAGAUACCGCCC